rnacentral:lncRNA from 1 species
UUAAAAGGACAUAGGAACAACCAUGGUCCAUAUAAGAAUGUCUUGCCUUGGCUCUCUAAUCUCUACAUAUGCCCAUCUGCAGAGAGCCAUAUAUUUUUGUUAGCUCGGUAGAUUGGAAAUUUAUGGUUCACAUGCAUAUAGUUCAAUUUUCUUUUUUGUGUGUGUUAGCAGGGUUUAAUAUUGGAGAGAGAAUGAAAGGACUUGAGAACAACCAUAUGGAAUGCCUUGGCUUGGAUGCAACCACCAUGCUUUAGCUGUUAAGUGCUGAAUGGAGGCUAGCUAUUAUAAGCUAUCCAUGUUGGUUCACAAAUAGUUUCAUAUCUGAGCAGAAUGGCCAAUGAUUUUGGUUUAAAUAACAUUAUGACAUGAAGCAAUUCACCUUUCUAUGUAAGAUGGAACGUCGACAUUGAAGUGAAGGAAGGUGGUGAGCUUUUGUAGAGUAGGUCGAGUUUGUCAUUUUCUUCACCAUAGCGGUGUUUUGAAGGAACUGCCACCCGAGAGAAGGUAAGGUGAAAGCGCGCCUUUAGGCUUCUUUUCGAUACCCUCUCUCUCUUCAUGCCCCGGAGUAGCCUCGAAGAGGGAUUUAGAGCUACAGGCCAGCUCCAGGUCUAGCUUGACUGAAUCCAAUCUGAACUGGUUUUGGCUCUUGGAUUUGGAUAUAGAUCCUGAUGUAGUUGGAAGGUAGGACCGGAUUGGGUC